CUUUAAUCUUUUAAAACUUUUAACUUAUUAACCACAAAAUUGCCAGUCGGUUUUGGAUGACCUGAUCACCUUUUUAAAAAAAAAAAAAAAAAAACAUUACCACCAAAGCCUGACCCUGAGGAUGACUUUUGCCCCAGUGCUACAUAACGCCACGAUACAAUUAAAUGAAAUUAAAGAGAAGGAGGGCGGGAUCCGUCUGCACCGCUCCGGUUUCAGUCCACUCUGACAGGAUUAAACUUGUGCAGAUACAGUUAUAUAAUCAGCGGUGGCCAAAAUGUAGAUCACAAGAUGUUAAUGGCUUUCUCUGGUUCUCACAUUUCACUGUGAUCAACACUGCUGGAUUCUGAAAAAGCCGAAUAUUUGAUCUCCUGCUGUGCAGGAAACAAGAUAGAGCAGUGAAGAAUAUAAAGAACAACAGCCAAACAACCACAAAACAAUGAAAAAACACACAAUAGACACCAAUAUAAAUACUCACAAUUAUUGAAUCCCCAGAAGGCUCCAAUAACAUCCUCCAACCGUUCAAUUCAAAAGACGUUUACUCUAUAGAGGGUAAAUGAUGUAAACAAAUCAUGGAGAGACGUCCCAAAGCGGCUAAUG